rnacentral:rRNA from 1 species
ACUCAAAUGAAUUGACGGGGGCCCGCACAAGCGGCGGAGCGUGCGGUUUAAUUCGACGCAACGCGCAAAACCUUACCGAGGCUUGACAUGGGACUGCAGAGCCGGGAAACCGGUUGGCCUUCGAGGGUGUCCCACAGGUGCUGCAUGGCUGUCGUCAGCUCGUGCCGUGAGGUGUUGGGUUAAGUCCCGCAACGAGCGCAACCCCCGCGCCUAGUUGAAGUGAUCUAGGCGGACUGCCGGCCGCAAACCGGAGGAAGGUGGGGAUGAUGUCAAGUCAGCAUGGCCCUUACGUCUCGGGCUACACGCACGCUACAAUGGCCGGGACAGUGGGUAGCCAAGCCGCAAGGCGGAGCGAAUCCCCCAAACCCGGUCUCAGUUCGGAUCGCGGGCUGCAACUCGCCCGCGUGAAGGCGGAGUCGCUAGUAACCGCGGGUCAGCAGUACCGCGGUGAAUAUGUUCCCGGGCCUUGCACACACCGCCCGU